GACGGGACCGCACAAGCGGUGGAUGAUGUGGUUAAUUCGAUGCAACGCGAAAACCUUACCCACCUUUGACAUGUACGGAAGUUGCCAGAGAUGGCUUCGUGCUCGAAAGAGAGCCGUAACACAGGUGCUGCAUGGCUGUCGUCAGCUCGUGUCGUGAGAUGUUGGGUUAAGCCCCGCAACGAGCGCAACCCUUGUCAUUAGUUGCUACGAAAGGGCACUCUAAUGAGACUGCCGGUGACAAACCGGAGGAAGGUGGGGAUGACGUCAAGUCCUCAUGGCCCUUAUAGGUGGGGCUACACACGUCAUACAAUGGCUGGUACAAAGGGUUGCCAACCCGCGAGGGGGAGCCAAUCCCAUAAAGCCAGUCGUAGUCCGGAUCGCAGUCUGCAACUCGACUGCGUGAAGUCGGAAUCGCUAGUAAUCGUGGAUCAGCAUGUCACGGUGAAUACGUUCCCGGGUCUU
rnacentral:rRNA from 1 species